rnacentral:rRNA from 1 species
UACCAUGCAGUCGAACGGCAGCGCGGACUUUGCUGUGCCGGCGAGUGGCGAAGGGGUGAGUAAUACGUCUGAACCUCCCCUGUUGCGGGGGAUAGCUAGACAAAAGAUGAACUAAUACCGCAAACGACCUGAGGGUGAAGGUGGGGGACCGCAAGGUCUCGCGCAGCAGGAGGGGCCGAUGUCUGAUUAGCUAGUUGGUGGGGUAAAGGCCCACCAGGGCGACGAUGCGUCCUAGGUCUGAGAGGACGAUCACCCACACUGGCACUGAGACAGCGCCCAGACUCCUACGGGAGGCCGCAGUGGGGAAUUUUGGACAAUGGGGGAAACCCUGAUCCAGCAAUGCCGCGUGUGUGAAAAAGGCCUUCGGGUUGUAAAGCUCUUUUGUCCGGAAAGAAAGCGCGCUGGCUAAUACCUGGCGCGGAUGACGGUACCGGAAGAAUAAGCACCGGCUCACUACAUGCCAGCAGCCGCGGUAAUACGAA